rnacentral:rRNA from 1 species
GAUGAACGCUGGCGGCGUGCUUAACACAUGCCAGUCGAACGGAAAGGCUCCUGCUUGCAGGGGUACUCGAGUGGCGAACGGGUGAGUAACACGUGGGUGAUCUGCCCUGCACUUCGGGAUAAGCCUGGGAAACUGGGUCUAAUACCGGAUAGGACCAUCGUUUAGUGUCGGUGGUGGAAAGCUUUUUCGGUGUGGGAUGAGCUCGCGGCCUAUCAGCUUGUUGGUGGGGUAAUGGCCUACCAAGGCGUCGACGGGUAGCCGGCCUGAGAGGGUGUACGGCCACAAUGGGACUGAGGUACGGCCCAGACUCCUACGGGAGGCAGCAGUGGGGAAUAUUGCACAAUGGGCGCAAGCCUGAUGCAGCGACGCCGCGUGGGGGAUGACGGCCUUCGGGUUGUAAACUCCUUUCGCCAGGGACGAAGCGAAAGUGACGGUACCUGGAUAAGAAGCACCGGCUAACUACGUG